UUCGUUCGAAGAUGAAACCGCAUACAAGUUUGCGAUGAUUUACAAAAGUAUUCAAGUCGGAAUGACUCGUGGCCAGAUUAAAUACCAUAAAAAACACCACAAAAUAAUAAAAUAAAAUAAAAUAAUAAAAUAGUACAGAGGACCAGCAGAGGACCUGGUGAUGAGCUCCUCAUAUUACGAUCCCAUAGGUCUUUGCGAUCCUCCAUCAUUUGAAACCUCGCCACUUUAACGGUUAUCCGAUUGUUGUCUUAGCACGAGUUCAACAAGAAUUCUAGCCCUUUUAGCGUUCACAAUGCUUCCAAGAACCAGAAUCAUGAUUUGAUGUCUUAUCUGAGAUCUGUUAAACGACCUAGGUGAACUAUUUUACACUUUGCUGCUGGAAAUCGUUCUGCGCAAGUUUAAGUCAAAUCAAAGAAAAACUCGGCAAGAUGACAGCUGAGUACAACUUACUAAUAAGUUAUAAAGUUGAAUGCUUAUCUGCAUUUGAAAAUUCACAUGUAUAGCUAACCUCUAAGUUAAAUCAGCUUUUAAAUAUCACUUUUAUAAUUACUUUGGAGGUAUGCAGAAUGUAUAAAAACAUGCUGUUUUCGAAUGCAGCAGCUUGAUGUUACUGCAUAGCUGUACAUAGUAGAAGGCUCAUGAUACUUAAGUUUUUUAUGUAUUUUGCAUACUAGUUAAAUAUAUGGUAAAUUUAUAUACAUACAAUAUUUGUAUAUAUACUUAAGUAUUUGUUUGAAGUUUGUGUAUUUUUCUGCUGGAAAUUAACCUGAAAAUAUUACACUGGGUCCUCAAUAAUAAUAACACUAUUCUCAUAUCAUAAGACAAUGUAUAGAGGAUAUUACAUAUGUUUGGAGAUCAUACAGAUUUUAUCCUCAAGUGUUGAAAAGUUCUCUCAUGAGUCAGGGUAGCAAACAAGUGAGAGAUUGAUAAUCGUUAUCUCCAAGCAACCACGUAUAAUAUUCUGUUUAUCAUAUAAUUAUCCAUGAAAACAACUUGUAUACAAAGGGACUCUUAGGCCUAGGUUAUACAUCAAACUUCACAUAUGUCAAAUGCAACUCAAACAAUAGAUUAUCUAUCCUCUUUGAUGUAAUUGCAUUUGGUACAUUUGAGGUCAGACUUAUAACCUCGGCCUUAGUGUAGUACAUGUACAAUUAUAAUAGGAAAUCUAUCCAAGUACAUAMGAAUGUGGUCAAAUUUUCUUGUAAAUCCUCAUGUGCUAGCACAUUUUUCAUUGUUUUUUUUUUUAUUGCUUUUUGAUACCCUAAUUUUAUUAUUGGCAUGUUGGUUUACACUGAGAUGAUAGUUUGUAUAUAUGUAGGGCUAGUGAAAAACAAUUAUAAAAUAGUUUAUGAUAAGGGAUCAGCUUUUCUUAGAGAAUAAUCAGGGAAAUGAUAAAAACUUUGUAUUUAAUA